AUAUAUAUAUAUAUAUAUAUAUAUAUAUAUAUAUAUAUAUAUAUAUAUAUAUAUAAUGUAAAGAUUAAUUUUAUAAAUAAAUGUGAGUUUGAAUAAGAAAUUUAAAUUAAAUAGUGGUAAAUUUAGUGCCAGCAUCAGCGGUUAAACUAUUAUUAUAAGUUAAUUUUUAAAAUUAAUAGAAAUUUUUUAUUAUAUAUUAUACAUUAUAUGUAUAUAUAUAUAUAUAUAUAUUAAAUAUAUAUUUAUUUUUUUGGUGAAAUAUAAAAUUAUAAUAUAUUUAGUAUUAAAAUUUAAAAUUUUUAGUAAAUUUUUUUUGUAGACUAGGAUUAGAUACCCUAUUAUAAUUUUUAAUAAAUUAUUAAUUAAAUAUUAAAUGUAAAUCAUUAAAAUUAAAUAUUAUGGCGGCUUUAUAUACUUAUUAGAGGAACUUGUUAUUAAAUUGAUGAUCCACGUUAAGAUUUACUUGAAAUUAAAAUUUAUGUAUUGUUGUUUAAAAAUUUUAUAAAAAUUUUAUUAUUAAAAUAUUAUAUAUAUAUAUAUAUAUAUAUAUAUAUAUAUGAUAAUAAUUCAAAUCAAAAUGUAGUUUAUUUAAGAUAUGAUGAGUUAUAUUAAAUUUAUAAUUUUUUAAAUUAAUUUUUAAUAUUUAAUUAAUAUAAGAUUUAAUAGUAAAAAUUAUUAAUUAAUAAUUUUGAAAUUAGUUUUAUUUAGUGUACAAAUUGCCCGUCACUUUCAUUAUAAAUGGAAUAAGUCGUAACAUAGUAAAGGUAUUGGAAAAUGUUUUUAUU
rnacentral:rRNA from 1 species